rnacentral:rRNA from 1 species
GACGAACGCUGGCGGCAUGCCUAACACAUGCAAGUCGAGCGAGUAGAUCCCUUCGGGGUGAAGCUAGCGGCGGACGGGUGAGUAACACGUGGGCAACCUGCCUCAUAGAGGGGAAUAGCCUUCCGAAAGGAAGAUUAAUACCGCAUAAGAUUGUAGCUUCGCAUGAAGCAGCAAUUAAAGGAGCAAUCCGCUAUGAGAUGGGCCCGCGGCGCAUUAGCUAGUUGGUGAGGUAACGGCUCACCAAGGCGACGAUGCGUAGCCGACCUGAGAGGGUGAUCGGCCACAUUGGGACUGCGACACGGCCCAGACUCCUACGGGAGGCAGCAGUGGGGAAUAUUGCACAAUGGGGGAAACCCUGAUGCAGCAAUGCCGCGUGAGUGGUGACGGCCUUCGGGUUGUAAAGCUCUGUCUUCGGGGACGAUAAUGACGGUACCCGAGGAGGAAGCCACGGCUAACUACGUGCCAGCAGCCGCUGUAA